GGAUGAAUAUUGGUCAAUGGGCGAAAGCCUGAACCAGCCAUGCCGCGUGCAGGAAGAAUGCCCUAUGGGUUGUAAACUGCUUUUGUUCGGGACGAACAUGCAUACGUGUAUGCAAAUGACGGUACCGGAAGAAUAAGCACCGGCUAACUCCGUGCCAGCAGCCGCGGUAAUACGGAGGGUGCAAGCGUUAUUCGGAUUUAUUGGGUUUAAAGGGUGUGUAGGCGGUUUGAUAAGUCAGUGGUGAAAUCGG
rnacentral:rRNA from 1 species